rnacentral:rRNA from 1 species
UACGUAGGGUGCAAGCGUUGUCCGGAAUUAUUGGGCGUAAAGAGCUCGUAGGCGGUUUGUCGCGUCUGCUGUGAAACCCGAGGCUCAACCUCGGGCCUGCAGUGGGUACGGGCAGACUAGAGUGCGGUAGGGGAGAUUGGAAUUCCUGGUGUAGCGGUGGAAUGCGCAGAUAGUCAGGAGGAACACCGGUGGCGAAGGCGGGUCUCUGGGCCGAUACUGACACUGGAGGCGCGAAAGCGUGGGGAGCGAACAGG